ACGACGAACGCUGGCGGCGUGCCUAACACAUGCAAGUCGAGCGGUAACGCGGGCGAACUUCGGUUUGCCUGGCGACGAGCGGCGGACGGGUGAGUAACGCGUGGAUAACCUACCCAUCAGACCGGGAUAACCUCGGGAAGCUGGGGCUAAUACCGGAUACGAACACCUUUACACAAGUAGAGGUGUUGAAAGGAGAGAUCCGCUGAUGGAUGGGUCCGCGUCCCAUUAGCUAGUUGGUGGGGUAAUGGCCUACCAAGGCGACGAUGGGUAGCCGGCCUGAGAGGGUGACCGGCCACACUGGGACUGAGACACGGCCCAGACUCCUACGGGAGGCAGCAGUGGGGAAUAUUCCGCAAUGGGCGAAAGCCUGACGGAGCGACGCCGCGUGAGGGAAGAAGGCCUUCGGGUUGUAAACCUCUGUUCUGUGGGAAGAAUUAAAAGACGGUACCACAGGAGCAAGCCCCGGCUAACUACGUGCCAGCAGCCGCGGUAAUACGUAGGGGGCGAGCGUUGUCCGGAAUCACUGGGCGUAAAGGGCGUGUAGGCGGCAUGCUAAGUUAGAAGUGAAAUUUCAGGGCUCAACUCUGAAACUGCUUCUAAAACUGGCAUGCUUGAGUGCAGGAGAGGGAAGUGGAAUUCCUGGUGUAGCGGUGAAAUGCGUAGAUAUCAGGAGGAACACUCGUGGCGAAGGCGGCUUCCUGGCCUGUUGCUGACGCUGAGGCGCGAAAGCGUGGGGAGCAAACAGGGUUAGAUACCCUGGUAGUCCACGCUGUAAACGAUGAGUGCUAGGUGUUGGUGGUAUCGAAUCCAUCAGUGCCGUAGCUAACGCGAUAAGCACUCCGCCUGGGGAGUACGGUCGCAAGACUGAAACUCAAAGGAAUUGACGGGGGCCCGCACAAGCGGUGGAGCAUGUGGUUUAAUUCGACGCAACGCGAAGAACCUUACCAGGGCUUGACAUCUACCUGACCGGUCUGGAAACAGGCUUUUCCCUUUUGGGACAGGUAGACAGGUGGUGCAUGGUUGUCGUCAGCUCGUGUCGUGAGAUGUUGGGUUAAGUCCCGCAACGAGCGCAACCCCUACCGCUAGUUGCUAACGUGUAAUGGCGAGGACUCUAGCGGAACUGCCGUCGCAAGACGGAGGAAGGUGGGGAUGACGUCAAAUCAUCAUGCCCCUUAUGUCCUGGGCUACACACGUGCUACAAUGGGCUGUACAGAGGGAAGCGAAGCCGUGAGGUGGAGCAAAACCCCAAAAGCAGGUCUAAGUUCGGAUUGCAGUCUGCAACUCGACUGCAUGAAGGCGGAAUCGCUAGUAAUCGCAGGUCAGCAUACUGCGUGAUACAGUUCCCGGGCAUUGUAACACCGCCCGUNCAGGCGAUUGCCGCCGUAUAUGGAAAGAAAAACGGNNNNUUUUUUUUUCUCUCUUUUUCUUUCUUCUUUUUCUUCUUUUUUUCUUUUUUUUCCUUUUUUUUUCUCUUCUCUUUCUCUUUCUUUCUUUUUGUUUUUUUUUUUCUUUUCUUUCUUUUUUCUUU
rnacentral:rRNA from 1 species